CCUACGGGAGGCAGCAGUGGGGGAUAUUGCACAAUGGGGGGAACCCUGAUGCAGCGACGCCGCGUGGGUGAAGAAGCGCCUCGGCGCGUAAAGCCCUGUCAGCAGGGAAGAAAAUGACGGUACCUGAAGAAGAAGCCCCGGCAAACUACGUGCCAGCAGCCGCGGGAAUACGUAGGGGGCAAGCGUUAUCCGGAUUUACUGGGUGUAAAGGGGGCGCAGACGGCGAUGCAAGCCAGGAGUGAAAGCCCGGGGCCCAACCCCGGGACUGCUCUUGGAACUGCGUAGCUGGAGUGCAGGAGGGGCAGGCGGAAUUCCUGGUGUAGCGGUGAAAUGCGUAGAUAUCAGGAGGAACACCGGUGGCGAAGGCGGCCUGCUGGACUGCAACUGACGUUGAGGCCCGAAAGCGUGGGGAGCAAACAGGAUUAGAUACCCGUGUAGUC
rnacentral:rRNA from 1 species